CCCUUAGAUGUCCUGGGCUGCACGCGCGCUACACUGGAAGUUACGGAUUGAGAUACUACCUUGUCCGAAAUGGUCCGGGUAAUCACCUAAAAGCUUGUCAUAAUUGGAAUGGAUUAUUGUAACUAGUAAUCCUGAACGAGGAAUUCCUAGUAAGUCCCAGUCAACAGCUGGUACUGAUUACGUCCCUGCCCUUUGUACACACCGCCCGUCGCUACUACUGAUUGGACGUUUAAGCAAGAUUUUUAAACACUGACAGUGUGUAGUUCACGCUAUACUACAGUGAGAAGAAGAAGAUCGAGCUCACUUGUCUAGAGGAAGUAAAAGUCGUAACA
rnacentral:rRNA from 1 species